rnacentral:tRNA from 1 species
CCGGUAGCUCAGUGGUUAGAGCAAGCGACUCAUAAUCGCUCGGUCGUGGGUUCGAUCCCCACUCGGCC